UGGGGAAUUUUGGACAAUGGGCGCAAGCCUGAUCCAGCAAUGCCGCGUGCAGGAUGAAGGCCUUCGGGUUGUAAACUGCUUUUGUACGGAGCGAAAAGGUCUGCCCUAAUACGGUGGGCUCAUGACGGUACCGUAAGAAUAAGCACCGGCUGACUACGUGCCAGCAGCCGCGGUAAUACGUAGGGUGCGAGCGUUAAUCGGAAUUACUGGGCGUAAAGCGUGCGCAGGCGGUUAUGCAAGACAGAGGUGAAAUCCCCGGGCUCAACCUGGGAUCUGCAUUUGUGACUGUAUAGCUAGAGUACGGUAGAGGGGGAUGGAAUUCCGCGUGUAGCAGUGAAAUGCGUAGAUAUGCGGAGGAACACCGAUGGCGAAGGCAAUCCCCUGGACCUGUACUGACGCUCAUGCACGAAAGCGUGGGGAGCAAACA
rnacentral:rRNA from 1 species